rnacentral:rRNA from 1 species
UACGUAGGUGGCGAGCGUUGUCCGGAUUUACUGGGCGUAAAGAGCGCGCAGGCGGCUUGGGAAGUCCGUGGUGAAAGCUCGAGGCUCAACUUCGAGUCGGCCAAGGAUACUCCUAAGCUCGAGUCGACUAGAGGCAGAUGGAAUUCCGGGUGUAGCGGUGGAAUGCGUAGAGAUCCGGAAGAACACCGGUGGCGAAGGCGGUCUGCUGGGGUCGAACUGACGCUGAGGCGCGACAGCGUGGGGAGCAAACAGG